AGUGAACGCUGGCGAUAGGCCUAACACAUGCAAGUCGAACGGCAGCACAGUAAGAGCUUGCCCUUACGGGUGGCGAGUGGCGGACGGGUGAGGAAUACAUCGGAAUCUACUUUUUCGUGGGGGAUAACGUAGGGAAACUUACGCUAAUACCGCAUACGACCUACGGGUGAAAGCAGGGGAUCUUCGGACCUUGCGCGAUUGAAUGAGCCGAUGUCGGAUUAGCUAGUUGGCGGGGUAAAGGCCCACCAAGGCGACGAUCCGUAGCUGGUCUGAGAGGAUGAUCAGCCACACUGGAACUGAGACACGGUCCAGACUCCUACGGGAGGCAGCAGUGGGGAAUAUUGGACAAUGGGCGCAGGCCUGAUCCAGCCAUACCGCGUGGGUGAAGAAGGCCUUCGGGUUGUAAAGCCCUUUUGUUGGGAAAGAAAAGCAGCAGGUUAAUACCCCGCUGUUCUGACGGUACCCAAAGAAUAAGCACCGGCUAACUUCGUG
rnacentral:rRNA from 1 species